UACGUAGGGUGCAAGCGUUGUCCGGAAUUAUUGGGCGUAAAGAGCUUGUAGGCGGUUUGUCGCGUCUGCUGUGAAAUUUCGGGGCUCAACCCCGAACUUGCAGUGGGUACGGGCAGACUAGAGUGUGGUAGGGGAGACUGGAAUUCCUGGUGUAGCGGUGAAAUGCGCAGAUAUCAGGAGGAACACCGGUGGCGAAGGCGGUUCUCUGGGCCUUACCUGACGCUGAGGAGCGAAAGCGUGGGGAGCAAACAGG
rnacentral:rRNA from 1 species